rnacentral:rRNA from 1 species
UACGUAGGUGGCAAGCGUUGUUCGGAGUUACUGGGCGUAAAGGGUGUGUAGGCGGUUCUCUAAGUUUGGGGUGAAAUCUCCCGGCUCAACCGGGAGGGUGCGCCGAAAACUGGAGGACUGGAGUGCGGGAGAGGAGAGUGGAAUUCCUGGUGUAGCGGUGAAAUGCGUAGAUAUCAGGAGGAACACCGGCGGUGUAGACGGCUCUCUGGACCGUAACUGACGCUGAGACACGAAAGCGUGGGGAGCAAACAGG